UACGGAGGAUCCGAGCGUUAUCCGGAUUUAUUGGGUUUAAAGGGUGCGCAGGCGGGAGAUUAAGUCGGCGGUGAAAUUUUGCAGCUCAACUGUAAAAGUGCCUUCGAAACUGGUUUCCUUGAGUGUAGAUGAAGUAGGCGGAAUUUGUGGUGUAGCGGUAAAAUGCUUAGAUAUCACGAGGAACUCCGAUUGCGCAGGCAGCUUACUAAACUACUACUGACGCUCAGGCACGAAGGCGUGGGGAUCAAACAGGAUUAGAUACCCUGGUAGUCCCU
rnacentral:rRNA from 1 species